rnacentral:rRNA from 1 species
CAAUAGCGUAUAUUGAAGUUGUUGCAGUUAAAAAGCUCGUAGUUGGAUUUGUGGCGUACGGUGUGUUCCGGGCACUUGUUGUCUGAGUAACCUGCUGUUGCCAUCCUUGGGUGGAACCUGUGUGGCAUUAGGUUGUCGUGCAGGGGAUGCCCAUCAUUUACUGUGAAAAAAUUAGAGUGUUCAAAGCAGGCUUAUGCCGUUGAAUAUAUUAGCAUGGAAUAAUGAGAUAGGACUUUUUUGCUAUUUUGUUGGUUUGCGCAAAGAGGUAAUGAUUAAUAGGGACAGUUGGGGGUAUUCGUAUUCCAUUGUCAGAGGUGAAAUUCUUGGAUUUUUGGAAGACGAACUACUGCGAAAGCAUUUACCAAGGAUGUUUUCAUUAA